UACGUAGGGGGCGAGCGUUGUCCGGAAUUACUGGGCGUAAAGGGCGCCUAGGCGGUUUUUUAAGUCCGCUGUGAAAGACCGAGGCUCAACCUCGGGAUGUCAGCGGAGACUGGAAGACUGGAGUGUCGGAGAGGAGUGCGGAAUUCCUGGUGUAGCGGUGGAAUGCGUAGAUAUCAGGAGGAACACCGGUGGCGAAGGCGGGUCUCUGGGCCGACACUGACACUGAGAGACGAAAGCUAGGGGAGCGAAUGGG
rnacentral:rRNA from 1 species